ensembl:snRNA U6 U6 spliceosomal RNA
AUUUUCUUAAAACUAUGUAUAUUGAAAUGGGAAUGAUACAAAGAUCAACAUGUCCCUACAUAAGGGUGACACUCAGAUUUAUUAAGGAUUUCAUAUAUUU